CUAGUCAGCGCCAUUUUGGAAUUGGGCAGGAGACGACACCAAUUGUGAAACCUUGGACUAGACAUUUCUAGAUAGGAAUGCGGCAUCCGUUGUGGAAUUAGGUAGCCAUGAUUGUUUGGGGCAGAAGUCUGGCAGUUGAAGUGGCUAAGCAAAUAAAACGUAGCUGGUAGCGAGCACGUUGGACUCUAAGGCAAGUUCCCUUCUUCAGAAUACCUCAUCUAACUGUAUGGGAACGCCCAAUAAAGUUUGGGACUCGGCAAGUGUUUGAGCAGCUACCUUAAUCUAGCUGAAUGUUUUGCUGGUAUAUAUCCUGCAGGAUUAGAGAUAAGACAUCCCCUCUGUGUGCAGAUACUGCUUUGAGAGAAGCUGGCCUGGACAUUUUCAAGAGAAUGCUAUGGUAACUAGACCCAUUGAAUCCUGUAACUUCCAGCCAAAAGUAUUGAUGUAUCUUCUAUCCCUUUGGAAGAACGUCUGCAGUUGCUGAUGUCCUACAAAUUCAUACUCAAAUCCUUUUCUUUACGUCUGCCUUAAGAAUAGCGUCAGAGGGCUGGUAGUAGGACAUGGUUUAAUCCCAGCACUUGGAAGGCAAAGGCAGGUAAUUCAUUUCGAGAUAGAGGGCAGCCUGAUCUAUAGUGUGAGUUCUAGGAAAGAAAAACCCUGUCACAAAAAUAUAAAACCAAACCAAACAAUAGUCAGUCUGUCGUGGUGGAGCACACCUUUAAUGCUAGCAAUCACAAAGCACAGGAAGUUCAAAUCACUGCAAACUGAAGGCCAGCCUGAUCUACACAGUUCCAGUUUUGCUGGAAUCCGGUUAGGGGUGGGGAGGGAUAGGUGUUGUAGCUCACACCUUUUAUACCAGCAUUGAAGAAGCAGAUGCAAGCAGGUCUCUGUAAAUAGGAGGCCAGCCUUGUCUGCACAGAGUUCCAGGUCAGAGAGAGCUACAAAGACGACGACAACAAACCAAAAACGUGAGAAUAAGAGUCUCGGGUGGGCCUUUCUUUCUUUCCCCUGCUGGAUAUGGCCUGGGGCUUCUCCUAAUGUUCUGGCCAAUGGUUAAGCUGGUUCCUGUGUCUUCCUUAGCCCCACCCUCAGCCCACCCUGGGGGAAGUCAUUGGCUAGAUCACAGCAGGCUGCCAGCAUAGCUUCCCACCUUCUGCAGCUGGGGUUAUAAAUAACCACCAAGGCUAAACAGUCAAAUAACCACAUUUUGAAAAUUGCUUUAAAAAAAAAAGUCAUUAUGCUGCUCUAGUUGCAGUUCUUCUCUCCUGUCCUUCAUCCCCCUCUUUUCUUCCACUUAAUUUAUCUCCCUCCCCUGAUCCAAGCCCUCCAGGGAAGUCUAUGUGAGCACAAAGCUGCCCUAUGAUGAAGACAUCCUUUUCCAUAUGUGACGGCCCAGGGCCCUCCAGGGCUGUAGUUAUAGUUACAUAAUGUUGUUACGGCAGCAGAGGCCUCAGGGCAACAUAUGUUCCUCCGUGUAAUUGGGUUUUCUCUAGCAGACUGUCUCUCCUUGGGUCCUCCAUGCCCAAAUCCAUUUACCGAGAAGACUGGGGAAUUUCCAUUAUGGAUGGCCCUUCAUCAUCGUUAUUUUUAUUAUUAUUAUUUUUGGAUUCCAGGAAAAUCAAAUUCUUUUUCAUACUUCAGGGUGGAGUAUGUCUGUCUAGUAAGCAGGGAUGGAGACUUUCAGAUGGUGGGCGUUUUCGUUUAUUCACCAAAUAUUUACUAAAGGCAUUGGUCUGGAAGCUGAGUGAACACAGCUCAUAAACCAUCAACUUGGGAAAACCGGCUACAGGAGGGGCCUGUGGGGCAUGACCUUGACCUGUCUGCAGCCCCCUCUGCCUUUCAGAAAUUAUUUACCCAGUACAACACAAGACAAGAUGAGGAAGUGAUGCUUCCUAAAAUUUACUGCUAUUGUAAAGCAACACACACACACACACACACUUUAAGGAAAGACAACAUGAUAACCUUUUAUGUGUAUGAAUACUUUGCUAACAUGUAUGUAUGUACACCAUGUUCAUUCCUGGUCCUCUCCGAGGGCAGAAGAAGGUAUUGGAUCAUCUGGAACUGGGGUUACAGAUGUUUGUGAGCCAGCAUGUGGAUGCAAGGGAUUAAAGCCAGGUCUUUUGGGAAAGCAGCUGGUGCGUGGUCUUACUGACCCAUCUUUCCAGCGCGCUCGCUCUCUCUCUCUCUCUCUCUCUCUCUCUCUCUCUCUCUCUCUCUCUCUCUCUCUCUCUUUUCUUUUUUUUUCCGGAGCUGGGGACUAAACCUAGGGCCUUGCGCUUGCUAGGCAAGCGCUCUACCACUGAGCUAAAUCCCCAACCCCCUUUCCAGCUCUCUUAAGGGGCAUGGCUGAUGUAGCAGGGCCAUACCCUCAGUGAGCAGGGUCACCCACGGGCAGGUAGUCAUAGACUAGGUGGAAAAGGUGCCUGGAGGAGCAAACUGGUAAGCCACACUCUGCUGUGGCCCCUGCUUCAGUUCCUGCCUUGGCUUCCCUAGAUGAUGAACUGUGACCUGUAAGUCAGAUAAACCUUUUCCUUCCCCAAAUUGCAUUUGGUGCUGGAGUUUGCCAUGGCAACCAGGAAGCAAAGGAGAACACUGAUCAUCUCUGUGUGUCUGUGGUCUUCACCACUGAAGCUGCAGCUUCCCCGUUCCAUUGCACUAUAGUUCACAUUUCCCUAGGAUUCAGGGUCCUUCAUGUCAGAACACUGCAGCGUCUGCUUGCUCCUCUCUCCCUCCUGCUUUUAUUUCUGCCUCAAAGAUGUUCUUUAUUUCUUCCCUCAAAGAGUUGUGUUUAAGAGUUGUGACCUGCUCAUAGUCACUGCUUGAGAGUGACAAUCUAAGAUAGUACCAGAAUUAAAAUUUUAAAGUAUAGCUCAAAAAAAUAUGUCUAUUUGCUUAAAGAGGUAAGCCCUCCUUGUAGCCCAGGCCAAUCUCAAAUUCAUGUACUUCCCAAGUGAUGGAAUUCCAAGCAUGUGCCACCACACCAAUUGUUAGGAAUCAAAUUCAGCUCUUUGUGCACGAUGGGCAAACACUUUCUACCAACAGAGCCUCAUCUCCAGCCCCUCAAGUGUACCUUUGUUUUAUUUCUUAAGAAGAUGGAAAGGUAGCCUCACCACCACCACCACCUCUUUGUGUGUGUGUGUGUGUGUGUGUGUGUGUGUGUGUGUGUGUGUGUGUGUGUGUU